CGACGCCACGCCGGCGGCCGGAGGACUUACUGCCAUGGCGUCGUCCAAGCUGCAGCUUCCGGCGGACGACAGCGUCCUCCUGCUCGUCACCCACUCCAAUCUCUCCACCUUCGCGGCAGACAUCCGCGUCUCGCAACAGGUAUGACCACCGUCGAGGCGCUCAAGGACAAGCUCUGGCGCAAGACCGGCACCGCCGUCGCCUCCAUGCGCCUCCAGCUCCGCGACGACACCGGCGUCAACCUCGCCGACCUCGAUGAUGACGCCGCGCCCCUCGCAGCCUACGGCCCAUACAACGGCUGCCGGAUCCAUGUCCUCGAUCUCGAUCCUUCCUCACUCACCUCUGGUGGCUGGUUGGAAGACACCUCCCUUGUUGACAAGUACAAAAUGUCCGAUGAAGCAUACGACAAGCUCCACACUAACUUUCGAAAAUUUAAAGAAAAGAUGACCCCGAAAACCCCCACAUCAGAGUCAGAGGAUAAUAAACAACAAUUAGAAAAGCACAUGGAGGAAUUGUGCUCCAAAAUCAAGGUGGGAGAUAGAUGUGAAGUUGAGCCAGGUGCCAAGAGGGGCACUGUCAAAUUCGUUGGCAGAGCUGAAGCUCUUGGACGUGGAUUCUGGGUUGGUGUGCAAUAUGAUGAGCCACUUGGAAAGCACGAUGGCAUGGUGAAAGGCAUUCGCUUCUUUGAGUGCCCUCAAGGUCAUGGGGCAAUUGUGAGACCAAAGAAAGUAAAGGUUGGAGACUACCCAGAGAGAGACCCAUUCGAAGAAGAGGAGAUAUAGGCAAGCAAGGUGUGGCGCAUUUGUUUAGUAAUUUUCAAUGGGAGGGGGGGUCGUUGUGGAGUUGUAUUUGAAACGCGUGCGAAAUUGCUGCUACGAUCUUGUUGAUCAAUCAGACUCGAUUACUCUAGUGUUGUAGUAAGUUGGUCGUUGCACUAUCUUGUCUUGGGUUUAGCAGCCGAGGAGCACUACUCUGCCAACGGGGUGGUCAAAUCCUGGACUCCUGCAUCACCCGAAGCCGAAACCCAAUAAUGGAUGGACAGAUGGAUGGCUACCGUAGGGCUUGUUUGGUUAGCGAUUAUAACUAGUCACAACCCUUGCCUUUUGUUCGGCUGGCUGUGGAUGGUGCUGAUUUGUUGUAAGAUAAAAGUAUUGUUGGCUGGCUGUGGCUGGUGGCUGGUGUUGAUUUGGUAUGAGAAAAAAACACUGCUGGUUGGUUGGCUGACAAGCCAGACGAACAGUUGGACGGAUGCAUAUUGGGUAAUGUAUGUUGAGUCACUGACAGGUGCGACCCAUAAUUCUGAAGCCCUUGCGAAAUCCCACUCCAUUUUAGUUAAGGUGUGGUGGUUAACAUCUGUUAGCCACAUCUUUGUAAAUUUGUAAAA